GCUCUCCCGGGCCUCUCCACCGAGAGCUUCCUGCGCCUGCCCGCCAGGCCCGCUCCUCCUCCCCUCUCCGUCUGAGUUUAUCUUACUGCCCGGCCCAUUGGGCCAAAAACAGGGGUGUCGUUCGUAACUCCUUUAUUUUAAUCCUAUCUCAAAUCCCUCGGCGGAUCUGACGGCUCCACUUUCAAAGAGAGAACGUCUGGAGCUGGCCCAGCUUCCGUGCUAGGCAGGACCCUCCCACGGGCCCCGCUCCCAUUGUUUCUCCACAGCUCGCUGCCCAACUAGGGGCACCUCUCCAUCUUCAUUCCCUAGGACCCCCUCUUUCGAGAAGCUGCACCUUCAGCUUGUUGGUUCCUCCAAGUUCAUGCCUACUUAAAGGCGGGCUGUUAAGUGUGUUGUUUCCUGUGCCCCAAACUCUCCUCGUGGGCCAUCAAACAGCUGCCUGCCGCCCUCAUAACCUCCCUCAACCUCCAGCUUGAACCACACUCCACUGCAGCCCCCGCCCCGCUCUCCUGAGUGUCCAUAGUACCUCACUUUUUCUGGUAGCCCCUAUAGCACCCUGUGUGUUCACCAUUAUUGAGCUUAGGAGAGC
rnacentral:lncRNA from 1 species